rnacentral:tRNA from 3 species
UGGGCUGUAGCCAAGUGGUAAGGCAACGGGUUUUGGCCCCGUGAUGCGCUGGUUCGAAUCCAGCCAGCCCAGCCA